rnacentral:rRNA from 1 species
UACGUAGGGGGCAAGCGUUGUCCGGAAUUAUUGGGCGUAAAGAGCGUGUAGGCGGUCCGGUAAGUCAGCUGUGAAAGUCAAGGGCUCAACCCUUGAAUGCCGGUUGAUACUGUCGGGCUAGAGUCCGGAAGAGGCGAGUGGAAUUCCCGGUGUAGCGGUGAAAUGCGCAGAUAUCAGGAGGAACACCGAUGGCGAAGGCAGCUCGCUGGGACGGUACUGACGCUGAGGCGCGAAAGCGUGGGGAGCAAACAGG